rnacentral:rRNA from 1 species
UGGGUAGGGGAGCGUUCUGUAAGCCUGCGAAGGUGUGCUGUGAGGCAUGCUGGAGGUAUCAGAAGUGCGAAUGCUGACAUAAGUAACGAUAAAGCGGGUGAAAAGCCCGCUCGCCGGAAGACCAAGGGUUCCUGUCCAACGUUAAUCGGGGCAGGGUGAGUCGACCCCUAAGGCGAGGCCGAAAGGCGUAGUCGAUGGGAAACAGGUUAAUAUUCCUGUACUUGGUGUUACUGCGAAGGGGGGACGGAGAAGGCUAUGUUAGCCGGGCGACGGUUGUCCCGGUUUAAGCAUGUAGGCUGAUUGUCCAGGCAAAUCCGGAUAAUCAAGGCUGAGGUGUGAUGACGAGGCACUACGGUGCUGAAGUAACAAAUGCCCUGCUUCCAGGAAAAGCCUCUAAGCAUCAGGUAACAUCAAAUCGUACCCCAAACCGACACAGGUGGUCAGGUAGAGAAUACCAAGGCGCUUGAGAGAACUCGGGUGAAGGAACUAGGCAAAAUGGUGCCGUAACUUCGGGAGAAGGCACGCUGGUGUGUAGGUGAAGCCCCUGCGGGUGGAGCUGAGACCAGUCGAAGAUACCAGCUGGCUG